CGGGGAGGUAGUGACGAAAAAUAACGAUACGGGACUCAUCCGAGGCCCCGUAAUCGGAAUGAGUACACUUUAAAUCCUUUAACAAGGACCAAUUGGAGGGCAAGUCUGGUGCCAGCAGCCGCGGUAAUUCCAGCUCCAAUAGCGUAUAUUAAAGUUGUUGCGGUUAAAAAGCUCGUAGUUGAAUCUGUGUGUCACAGUGUCGGUUCACCGCUCGCGGUGUCUAACUGGCAUUAUGUGGUACGUCCUACCGGUGGGCUUAGCUCCUUGCGGGCGGUCCAACUAAUCUCCCAUCGCGGUGCUCUUCACUGAGUGUCGAGGUGGGCCGGUACGUUUACUUUGAACAAAUUAGAGUGCUCAAAGCAGGCUACCUUCGCCUGAAUACUGCGUGCAUGGAAUAAUGGAAUAGGACCUCGGUUCUAUUUUGUUGGUUUUCGGAACCCCGAGGUAAUGAUUAGUAGGGACAGAUGGGGGCAUUCGUAUUGCGACGUUAGAGGUGAAAUUCUUGGAUCGUCGCAAGACGGACUAAAGCGAAAGCAUUUGCCAAAAAUGUUUUCAUUAAUCAAGAACGAAAGUUAGAGGUUCGAAGGCGAUCAGAUACCGCCCUAGUUCUAACCAUAAACGAUGCCAGCUAGCGAUCCGCCGAAGUUCCUCCGAUGACUCGGCGGGCAGCUUCCGGGAAACCAAAGCUUUUGGGUUCCGGGGGAAGUAUGGUUGCAAAGCUGAAACUUAAAGGAAUUGACGGAAGGGCACCACCAGGAGUGGAGCCUGCGGCUUAAUUUGACUC
rnacentral:rRNA from 1 species